rnacentral:pre_miRNA from 1 species
UAAUUAUAUUACAGAAUUUGUUUGUUGCUUGUGGUAACAAAUCCACUGAUUGCUCAAAACUUAUUUUUAUUUCAACAAUUAUUAAAAAUGAAAAAUUAUCACAAAUACAGGAACAUCCCCAACAAUAUGA